CCCGUUGUGCUUUCGGUUUCGAGGGGCGCGGGCGCGGGAAACAAACACACUCGUAAACUUCGGGAUUCCUCCGGCACGUUUUGGAGGCGCGCGGGAAUGGGGGCGCAGGGACGGAGCCCCGAGGGUGGGCUUUGGUUGGUUUUAUUCUGAAUAGAAUAAACUUCAAGGAAUUAGUGGCACGGGCAGCAGCACCGCUUUUCUUCCUCACAACUCACACAGGAAGGAAGUUUGUAGAAAUUCGUGUCUGUACCGCGCCACGCCACAUGCAGGGAGUGUGGUACAAGUGGCCCUCCCGCUGGCUGCGGGCACCACACCUGCUGGCUGCACGGCCUCAGGGGCAGCGAGGGCCUUGUUCCCACGACCCACUUGCGCACUUGGAAGUUUGGGUUCUCUUCAUGGUUCUGCAAUGCUCUCCCUCCAUUCUGUGCACAGGAGAUUCCGUUUGUCCUGUCACCUCCUUUCCCAGGACUGCCACUGCGUUCCCCACCACCCGGGACCUCGAACCUACCACAGAGCCAAGGCUCAGGUGUUCCGCAGUCGGGGAGCCGGGGGCCUGAGCGCAAUCCGGCGGCCACGCCCUGGUUCCUACAGCGUAGGCGGCUGCCUUUGACCAAGAACUUCUAUCAUCCGGGAGACUUCACAGUUUCACCUUACUGUGUGGGACCUCACCGACUGGCUCGUCACCCGCUGGGUCACAUGAAACGAACAGUCAUUUCAUGAGCAGCCCUUUGAGAGGCCCAUGUGGUGAAGAGCACCCAGCAAGGAACCGAGGUCCCGGAUGAGCAAACUUGGUAAUGGAUCCUCCUGCCCAGUCGAACCUUCUGAUAACUGUAGCCAACAUCUUGACUACAACCUUAUAAGAGACCCUGAACCGGAACCACCAGCCAAGCUCUGAUUUCCUGACCCUCAGAAACUAUAGAAGGUGGGGGAGGGACAGAGGAAGAAGGAGAGAGAAUCUCAAGCAGACUCAAGCUGAGCUCCGAGGCUGAUGCUGGUGAUCCCACGACCCUGAGAUCAUGACAUGAGCCGAAAUCAAGAAUCUGACAUUCAACCCACUGGGCCACCCAGGUGCCUCCAAUAUUUGUUACUUUUUGAACAGCCAUUCCUGUUUUGAUUUCAGGCAAGGUAGCUGCCUCUCCCUGUCCCAGGGGACAAAUUAUUAUUGGUCUAAGGUGAUUAUCAUGUCAUCCAUUAUGCCAAUAAUGAGUUUGGGCAGGAAUAAGUGAUCCAGUUCUGGCCAAUGAGAGAUAAGGAAAGUUGGGUGGGGGUUCUGAAAAAGAUGUUCGUUCUGGAUAAAAAAACAAAGCCUAGGGAAGUGAAAAGCUUGUACUAUUCCUUCCUUUUUUCUCCUUGCCUUCAGUGAGAUGGUGUGAAGGUGAAAUUAUUGGAGCUGUGUUAGCCAUCCUGUGACCAUGAGGGGACAAGCCUAGGGAUAAUCAGCUAAUGCCCAAAGGUGUCAGAAGGGUAAAUUAGAGAGAGACCUUGCCCUUAAAGACCUUAGUGAGCCACGGCCAACCAGAAACCACACACCUCCAAUCUGCUUCUUAUUCAAGCAAAUGAACAUGUCUUUAAAUAGAAGCCAGUGGCUCUCGGAGUGACAGGAACACCUGGGAAUUUGUUGGAAAUGCAAAUUCUCGAGCCUCACCCCAACUUCUUGAAUGCACACUUGGGUUGGGUGAUCUGAGGCAGAACCAGGUUUUAGAGUCUCCGUUAUCACAGUAGGGUUUCUGCCAAAGCAUUCCUGACCCAAAGCAUUCCCGAGGGCCCCUACAGUACAUGUGGAAUGCAUGAAGGGCUCCACAGUAUUCCUGCAAAGGCGCUUCCUCAAUGGAUUCCCCACCUUUGGCUUGAUUUCUUAACACUUACCUCUUUCUCUUGGGUAUACUUGUUGUCUUCUUGUAUUUAAAGAGGCAUAUCAAUUGUUGUGUGGAACCCUGAAACUGCCUCCUCCUAAGGUGUGCCUUGUCCUGAAGAGAAUCUUUACUUUGACUUUACCAGAAGUCUUUCACUUCCUAGCAUCAUUCUAACACCCUUUUAUUUCAACAUCACUUGAAUGCUUCAAAGUCCAGGUUACUUUUAAACCCAUUUUUUUC